GAUGAACGCUAGCUACAGGCUUAACACAUGCAAGUCGAGGGGAAACGACAUCGAAAGCUUGCUUUUGAUGGGCGUCGACCGGCGCACGGGUGAGUAACGCGUAUCCAACCUGCCCACCACUUGGGGAUAACCUUGCGAAAGUAAGACUAAUACCCAAUGACGUCUCUAGAAGACAUCUGAAAGAGAUUAAAGAUUUAUCGGUGAUGGAUGGGGAUGCGUCUGAUUAGCUUGUUGGCGGGGUAACGGCCCACCAAGGCGACGAUCAGUAGGGGUUCUGAGAGGAAGGUCCCCCACAUUGGAACUGAGACACGGUCCAAACUCCUACGGGAGGCAGCAGUGAGGAAUAUUGGUAAAUGGACGAGAGUCUGAACCAGCCAAGUAGCGUGCAGGAUGACGGCCCUAUGGGUUGUAAACUGCUUUUAUAAGGGAAUAAAGUGAGUCUCGGGAGACUUUUUGCAUGUACCUUAUGAAUAAGGACCGGCUAAUUCCGUG
rnacentral:rRNA from 1 species